AGAGUUUGAUCCUGGCUCAGGACGAACGCUGGCGGCGUGCUUAACACAUGCAAGUCGAACGGUGAAGUCCCUUCGGGGGCGGAUCAGUGGCGAACGGGUGAGUAACACGUGGGCAAUCUGCCCCUCACUGUGGGAUAACUCCGGGAAACCGGGGCUAAUACCGCAUAUGAAGCCUGGCGGCAUCGCCGGGUUUGGAAAGUUUUUCGGUGAGGGAUGAGCCCGCGGCCUAUCAGCUUGUUGGUGAGGUAAUGGCUCACCAAGGCGACGACGGGUAGCCGGCCUGAGAGGACGACCGGCCACACUGGGACUGAGACACGGCCCAGACUCCUACGGGAGGCAGCAGUGGGGAAUAUU
rnacentral:rRNA from 1 species